rnacentral:ncRNA from 1 species
CCUUAUUAAGAGCGGCUGAGGGACAGGCCCUGUGAAGCCCGGCAACCUGUGUUAUGCAAGGUGCUAAAUCCUGCGGCGUUUAGCCGAAAGAUAAGG